UCCGGUUUAACACCGGCAGUCUCCACAGAGUGGCCAACUUAAUGUUGCCAACUACGGACAAGGGUUGCGCUCGUUGCGGGACUUAACCCAACAUCUUACGACACGAGCUGACGACAGCCAUGCAGCACCUGUGCUGGCGCUCCGAAGAGGGGCCGAUGUUUCCACCGGCUUUCACCAGCAUGUCAAGCCCAGGUAAGGUUCUUCGCGUCGCCUCGAAUUAAGCAACAUGCUCCGCCGCUUGUGCGGGCCCCCGUCAAUUCCUUUGAGUUUUAGCCUUGCGGCCGUACUCCCCAGGCGGGGCACUUAAUGCGUUAGCUACGGCACGGAUCCCGUUGAUGAGGACCCACACCUAGUGCCCAACGUUUACGGCGUGGACUAC
rnacentral:misc_RNA from 1 species